rnacentral:rRNA from 1 species
AGGAUGAACGCUGGCGGCGUGCCUAACACAUGCAAGUCGAACGUCCUGUCUCGCAAGAGGCAGGGAGUGGCGGACGGGUGAGUACCACGUGGGUCAUCUACCGUGAGGUGAGGAAUACCGGCGAGAAAUCGCCGACAAGACCGCAUAGCCUCGGUGCAAGCCGAGGAAAGCUCUUUCGAGAGAGGGAGCGCCACACAAGGAGCCUGCGCCCGAUUAGCUAGCUGGUGGAGUAACGGUUCACCAGGGCGACGAUCGGUAGCUGGUCUGAGAGGACGAUCAGCCACACUGGGAUUGAGAACGGCCCAGACUCCUACGGGGGGCAGCAGUGAGGAAUUUCGUCAAUGGGGCAACCCUGAACGAGCAACGCCGCGUGCAGGAAGAAGGUUUUCGGAUCGUAAACUGCUUUUCUCGGGGAAGAGAACGGACGGUACCCGAGGAAUCGAGCCCCGGCUAACUACGUGCCAGCAGCCGCGGUAA